CCUACGGGAGGCAGCAGUGAGGAAUAUUGGUCAAUGGGCGUAAGCCUGAACCAGCCAAGUCGCGUGAAGGAUGAAGGCUCUAUGGAUCGUAAACCUCUUUUAUAAGGGAAUAAAGUGCGGGACGUGUCCCGUUUUGUAUGUACCUUAUGAAUAAGGAUCGGCUAACUCCGUGCCAGCAGCCGCGGUAAUACGGAGGAUCCGAGCGUUAUCCGGAUUUAUUGGGUUUAAAGGGUGCGUAGGCGGACUGUUAAGUCAGCGGUGAAAGUCUGUGGCUCAACCAUAGAAUUGCCGUUGAAACUGGGAGGCUUGAGUAUGUUUGAGGCAGGCGGAAUGCGUGGUGUAGCGGUGAAAUGCUUAGAUAUCACGAAGAACCCCGAUUGCGAAGGCAGCCUACCAAGCUAUCACUGACGCUGAUGCACGAAAGCGUGGGGAUCAAACAGGAUUAGAUACCCGAGUAGUC
rnacentral:rRNA from 1 species